rnacentral:rRNA from 1 species
GACGAACGCUGGCGGCGUGCCUAAUACAUGCAAGUCGAACGAAGCUGUUUUAACUGGUGCUUGCACCGACUUAAACAACUGAGUGGCGAACGGGUGAGUAACACGUGGGUAACCUGCCCCAAAGCGGGGGAUAACAUUUGGAAACAGAUGCUAAUACCGCAUAACCACAGAAACCACAUGGUUUCUGUGUCAAAGAUGGUUUCGGCUAUCACUUUGGGAUGGACCCGCGGCGUAUUAGCUAGUUGGUAAGGUAAUGGCUUACCAAGGCAAUGAUACGUAGCCGAACUGAGGGGUUGAUCGGCCACAUUGGGACUGAGACACGGCCCAAACUCCUACGGGAGGCAGCAGUAGGGAAUCUUCCACAAUGGACGAAAGUCUGAUGGAGCAACACCGCGUGAGUGAAGAAGGGUUUCGGCUCGUAAAACUCUGUUGUUAAAGAAGAACGUAUCUAAGAGUAACUGCUUAGGUAGUGACGGUAUUUAACCAGAAAGCCACGGCUAACUACGUGCCAGCAGCCGCGGUAA